rnacentral:lncRNA from 1 species
GUACCACUAAUUUAAACUUGUUUAAAAGUCGAAGUGGUUACUUGGCCCCACAAAUAUUUGUCAGCUUGCAGCUGGCAGGUUUUCUCUCAAGCCUUCUCAAGUCCAUCAGCCACAUUACCUCAGUGAAGUCCAGAACACAGGAUGAUACCCUGAAGUGAACCCGUGAAGAACAGAUGUAUGUUCUGAACUCUUACUGGAGAUACUUUUCUUGCUUCACUCACACUUGUGAUGAACCAAGAAUAAUUCACGUCUAUGGGAAAUAGCAAUUAGUUGAACAUAAAGGAGUAAAAGUGAAUAGGAUCCCUAAUGUUUUUGGUACAUGCAUCUCCCACAGGUAAUAACUCCUAUGUGUUAUGCCCAUAUUUAUGGUCUAUCAUAAAUGUCAGUUUAUUUGUAUAAAGGACAGUAUUGGAUUUUUUUUUUUCUUUUGGGAUUAAAGAGUUUUCUACUUAAUACAAAGUGGCUGUGUCACAGCCUUCAGCUGAUGUGAUCACAGUGAGAUGAGGCCAGAUGCUACUGUUCAGGUAACAGCACUGAUCUGGGGAAUGUGGUGGUUGGCUAGGGAGCAAGGAAAGGCCUCUCUUCUCCCCCUCUUUCCGUGAUGUUUUAAAGACCAGUUUCUAAAUGUAAAAAUCUUGUCAAAUUUUUACCACCAAUCAGCCUGCCCCCUUGGAGAGGAGAGCUGCAGGGAUGAAACACCCAGACCUGACCCUGUGCACACCAGCAUACUUUAAAUCAGAUCAAUAGGUGCUAAGGUGCCCCAUACUCAGAGCAUGUUUCCUCUGGCACCCUUCAAAAUCUGCUGUGAGCAGGGCAGAGGUGUGAGGGUGAAAAGUCUCUAGCACGAAAGGCAGGUCCUGCAGAACACCUUUCCAUUUUUUGUUGUACCCAGUUGACUUUGUAUUGUGUUAGGACCUGCUGACAGCUUGCACAAUCAGAUGGAGUGAAGUAGGAAUAUUCUUUCUUCCUUAUUGAGGAAGCACUGUUUGCUGAAUUUGGAGCAUGGUUGCAGCUACAGUGAAAAUCAGAUUUCACUGUUGACUUCUACAGCAUGAGGAUUUCAUGUUCAGAUUUUUGUAACUCCCUUCUAACAGUGUGAAGCAGUAAGUCAGAAUUAAAAGGCAGACAUAUGGUUACAAAUUCACCUGUGGAUUUGCAGCCUGUAAGCAAAUGAUGG